UUAGCAGCUUAAUAAUCAUAGUUAAAAGACACCAAUUUUUUGGUUAAUCCCUCUUAUAAAUGAUCAAUUUUCAUGCCCUUCGAGUAAGAUUGGGAGCAUCGAGGAAGCAAAAAAAGCCAUCGAUGCAGGAGUAGAUGCGAUUAUAGUCCAAGGACGUGAAGCAGGUGGACAUGUUAUCGGGCAGGACGGUCUCUUUUCAUUGCUGCCGAGGGUCGUUGAUAUGGUAGGUGACCGUGAAAUCCCGGUUAUCGCAGCUGGUGGCAUCGUUGAUGCACGCGGUUACGUUGCAGCAUUGGCACUCGGUGCUAAAGGCAUCUCCCUUGGCACUAGGUUUUUGGCUACUCAUGAGAGCUUCGCACAUCCAACAUACAAGCGGAAGUUGGUUGAAUUCGACGAAACCGAAUACACAGAUGUGUUUGGUCG